AAAACCAUAUUAAAACCAGGAAGUUUAUCAUCCAGAAGAAUCGGGCCUCGAAAGUGUGUCUUUGAUACUUGAUCAUUAGCGUUCAGUCAGAAGUACCUGGGAAGAAAAAUGUCCGAAUCAAAUGAUUUUAUAAUAGAAGAAGAAAAGAUAACGGACACUUCGAUUUUCGAAUCGAGAGUUCGUCCUAUUCUUGCCGAAUUUAUGGGAUCUAUCAUUUUGGUGUCUGUAAUGUGUGUGUCGGAGCAGUGAACACAGAGAGUACUACAAUGAAUGCGGUGAUUUAUGGAUUUACAAUGAUGUUUCUGAUCAUUACAUUUGGUGAAAUGAGUGGGGGUUACUUUAACCCCGUCAUAACACUUGGCUACACCCUGGCAAGAGUUCUGUCAAUUCCUCAGGCUGUGUGUUACUUCUUCGCACAAAUAAUUGGAGGAAUUGUUGGAGCAGCCUUAGUACGGGCCAGUUCCCCGGAUAGGAAAUACAUUCCCGAAUUCAAUGGAUACCAUUCACUAUGGUUUUAUAGAAUGGAUGAAAUGGAAACUCAGAUGACAAUCAUGUUGUCUGAGGCCAUACCAACAUUCAUCCUUGUUUUGACUGUCCUUAUCACUACCUUGGAUCGAAAAAAGCGUUGGCUCUCCCCUUUGGCUAUCGGGUUUUCUAUAAUAGUCUGUUCCUAUACAAGCUUUACUAAAUGGCGUGGAUCUACAUCUAUGAAUCCCCUGUUACGUUUCUGUCCGGCUGUAGCAUUUUCUGGUCGUGAUGACGGUGAAACGCUAUGGAAAAUUCAUUACGUGUACUGGAUAGGCCCUAUUGUAGGGACUCUGGUAGCCUCUCUUUUAUACAGAUUUGUUUUUGCCUUGGGAAGUAAACGGAUUCGGAUCCAUAGACCCUGCUGCCAGAACCAGCCUUAUAAUUCCGAGGGGAAUUAUACAAAUAAAAUACCAGAUGAAUUUGGCAAUAUUGGCAAAAAUUUGCCGUAAAGGUUUUGUUGAUAAAACAAUUGUCAAAAUAUGGCGUCAAAUUUUGUGUGUGAAAUGUCCAAAAAAUAAAUAUGUACAACUGGU
rnacentral:misc_RNA from 1 species